UAGAGUUUGAUCCUGGCUCAGGAUGAACGCCAGCGGCAGGCUUAACACAUGCAAGUCGAGGGGCAUCGGGAGGGAAGCUUGCUUUCCUUGCCGGCGACCGGCGCACGGGUGAGUAACACGUAUGCAACCUGCCCUCUUCAGGGGGACAACCUUCCGAAAGGGAGGCUAAUCCCGCGUAUAUCGGUUUCGGGCAUCCGAGAUCGAGGAAAGAUUCAUCGGAAGAGGAUGGGCAUGCGGCGCAUUAGCUUGACGGCGGGGUAACGGCCCACCGUGGCGACGAUGCGUAGGGGUUCUGAGAGGAAGGUCCCCCACACUGGUACUGAGACACGGACCAGACUCCUACGGGAGGCAGCAGUGAGGAAUAUUGGUCAAUGGGAGAGAUCCUGAACCAGCCAAGCCGCGUGAGGGAAGACGGCCCUAUGGGUUGUAAACCUCUUUUGUCGGAGAACAAAACCCGGGACGUGUCCCGGACUGCGUGUAUCCGAAGAAAAAGCAUCGGCUAACUCCGUGCCAGCAGCCGCGGUAAUACGGAGGAUGCGAGCGUUAUCCGGAUUUAUUGGGUUUAAAGGGUGCGUAGGCGGUCCGUUAAGUCAGCGGUAAAAUUGCGGGGCUCAACCCCGUCGAGCCGUUGAAACUGGCAGACUUGAGUUGGCGAGAAGUACGCGGAAUGCGCGGUGUAGCGGUGAAAUGCAUAGAUAUCGCGCAGAACUCCGAUUGCGAAGGCAGCGUACCGGCGCCACACUGACGCUGAGGCACGAAAGCGUGGGGAUCGAACAGGAUUAGAUACCCUG
rnacentral:rRNA from 1 species